rnacentral:sRNA from 1 species
AAUUAAGAGUGUGAUUUUUGUUUUCUAACAUUAUUCCAUAGUAUGGGAAGAACUGCCCUCUCCAGCAAGUACAUCAUCACUUGUCUCCCUUGUCUCUCAGAGUUGUCGCCUUCGUGAAUAUAUUAACUUCAAAAUUCAGCCACUGAGAUAUCACCUUCCAGGAACAUGGAUGGAACUGGAGGCCAUUACCCUUAGCAAACUAACUUAAGAACAGAAAACCAAGUCCAGCAUCUUCUCACUGAUAAAUGGGAGCUAAACGAAAGAACUUAUGAACACAAAGAAGGAAACAACAGACACUGGGGUCUAUUUGAGGGGGGGAGGGUGGGAGGAGGGAGAGGAGCAGAAAAGUUAACUAUUGGGUAUGGGCUUAAUACCUGGGUGAUGAAAUAAUAUGUAUAACAAAACCCCAUGACACAUGUUUACCUGUGUAAUGAGCCUUCACAUGUGCCCCCAAACCUAAAAUAAAAAUUAACAAAAAUUUUAUCU